UGUGAAACUGAAAUGAUACAGAAUACAGAAAUGUCACAUAAACAUUAGCUUUGGUUGAACUUAUGUGGACAUAUAAAACACAUCAAACGUUUCCAAGUCACUUCAAAAAUGUCAUAUACCUUGUCUUAAAGGUAAAUACAAUUAAGAAACUUACUCAUAUUGCCACUCAAAGGGAUUUAACGGAGUGGAUGGCUUUGGAUCAGAAGAAACACACCAUGUCUUGCUUCACUCAUGAGCAAACACUUCCUAUCACACUUCUUCUAGUAACUAAUUGGUUCAACAUAGCAAACUGUGCAAACCUGCGCCCCCUAUAGGUCUGGAGAAAUAGCAUACAAACAGUUCCAGUACAAUCAUAAUUAACAAAACGUAACAAAACAAAGCGUAACAAAACGUGUAACAAAACGCUACGUCCAGAUGAACAGAUUCAACUUUUGGAGAUUUACUUUCCUGGAUGAUUGAGCAUGCAUCAAGAAGCUGAAGGAACAGUUCCCUAAAGGGAAACCACACAGGAAACAAGAAACUACUAAUUUUGUGGUAUCGGGCCCUAAAAACAGGUUUACUCCAUCUUGUGGGUUAAAACAGGAACUGAGUAACUGACUGAUUGUUGAGCAGAUGAAAAGGCCCAAAUGCAGCUCUGUGAGCAGUCUGGAAUAACAGCUACAGAAUAGAAAGUUCAAAAGGGAAAAAUCAAGACAGAAAUCUAGAAAACAGCAUACGAGGGAACAAACAGGUGGUGUGAUAAGAGUACAUAUACACAGAGCUGACUGUAAAACAAGACACAGUUGGGAACAACCAAGGAGUCAGAUGGCACACAAAGCAAGGAACACAAAGCAGUAUGAUGUUCUUUUACAGUACUAUGCUGAGGAUUACAGUGCUAGGCUGGGCUAUAGAGUUCAGGGUUCAUCAGGGUUAGCAGACAUCAAUUUAAGGUGAUGAUUCACUCACAGAAUUCUUUAUAUUAGCUUUAUAAUGUCAGGGGGUUUGGACAUUAGCUGUAUAGCCUAUUAAAAUCUGCAUGUAUCUCAUUAAAUGUAGCUGGCCGAAUCUACAAAGGACAGAGUAUGUUGGAGUAGCAGAACAGGUCAGCUGAUCUUAGGGAAUCUUAAAGGUCCUCCACCUGCCAAAUCCCACUUUAACCACUGCUCAUAAUUAACUUUAAUGUUCACAGAUUUACUUGUUUUGUUUUUUUUCUAGUAACUGAAUGUUGUUUCGCACAGUUGCUAACUUUUAAUCUGUCAGCACCUGAACUGUGCGAGGGUAUGUGCUUUGUGUUUGUUUUGUUUGUUCUUCUCUGCAGGCUGGUGUGCUCGGGGAGGCUCUGCUGCAGCAUGUUUUUAUCCUGUCUUCCUUCUUUCACCCCAACUGGUCGCAGCAGAUGGCCCCGCCCCUCCCUGAGCCUGGUUCUGUCAGGCUCAGGUUCCCACUGUCGCCAAAGUGCUUGCUCAUAGGGGGUCAUAUGAUUGUUGGGUUUUUCUCUCUAUGUAUUAUUGUAGGGUCUACCUUACAAUAUAAAGCACCUUGAGGCGACUGUUGUUGUGAUUUGAUGCUGUAUAAAUAAAACUGAACUGAACUGAAUUGAACUGUGUCGCAGCACCCUCAUUAAGACGGCCGUUCUCUGCCAGAUCGUUAGUACUAACAUUAUGUGUCCUUUGUUAAUAACUCUGUGUUCUGUGCCGUCAGCUAGUAUUCUCAUUGUGAAUUUUCCAGUUGCCUGAUUCUUCUGGCUCCUGCAUGCUUUCUUGGAUCUAUUGAAGAACUACUCCUGCUAACUCUUGACUGUUACUGCUACUCAUCUACCUGCCCGUUCUGCACUGCUGUCCAGCUACCGAACCUUGCCUCCCCCAGCUACCCUCCACGCCGCCUCCAUGAAACAUUGUUACAAGAACAAAGCCUCAGGGGGAAUACCAAGCAGCUCUGCUAAGCCUGCAUCCCAAUCCACUAGACAAAGAGACAACUCUUCAAAGAAACGCUGGGCCUUUAAACAGUUAACAGCAGCAAGCGCUUUAAACAUGACAGUGUUUGGGAAUACUUUGCACCACUAAGCCUUGAAGAACUCCCACACUCCAAAUCACAGUCCUCAAACGAGAAAAUUGACAAGAUGAACUCUUUAUCAUGGUCUCCGAGUAUUUUGAUGUUCUUUCUGCCUUAAACCUGUGCACUUCUUCCUUCAUGUCAGUGACACAGAUUGUUGUACUUUUCAUAAAAUGUGAAAAAAAUAAGCAUAUUUAAUGCCGGAAAAAAAUGGAAACACCCUACAGUUUAAUGCCAAGAGUGACAGAACCAUAACACAUUUCAAAUACAACUGAAGUUGUUACUCAAAAAAUGUGGUUAUUACACAUUACUUGUUACUUUUCUUAAAAGUAUUGCAGUGCGUUACUUAAAAGAGUAAUUUGUUUCACUAAUCAUUACAUUACUUUCUGGUUACUUCAUAAAACGAGCUGAAAGGCGCUGACUCAUAAUUACCAGUUAACAGUAUAGAUCUGACCCACACACUAACACAUCCCAGUGACGACACGCUGUGUUUAGUUUUACAUAUGAACACAAAGAGACUUCAAAUCCAUCUGCACAGUGAUUCUAUUGUACAACAACAAGCAUAACUGCGCAUCACUGUUAUCUGUUCACGUUCAGGCUCUGGCUGUGACGAGCAUACCUUCAGCUUUACCAUCAAUCUGGGCUUUUCACUAGCUUUGUGUUAGCGUGCUGUCUGUGCAGAUGUUUGCAAAGAGCAGCAGUUGCAGUAGUUCACAGUAUAAUGCAGUUGUUAUUACCCUGGACUUUCAUGCUCCCACACAUGAACUAAAUACAGUUGAUUGCUACACUCAGUGUGCAGAUCACUGAAGACGUUCUGUAAUGCAAACACCAACAUGAUUUGACUGUAAUGUAAAUAAUGGAUGCUGUCACAUAUGGAUGUGACUGGCAGAUGACCAACCAGCUGCAGUGUGGGAUCAUGCCAUGAAAGAGGACUACAUAUGUCAUGUUUGCUUUGAGAAUGUUGAUGGAAAAAUGUAGCGAGGGUGUUACAGGUUCAGAAUAUUGGGGAUGGACACAAGAGGAAAACCAAAAUAACAACACUGGUCCGGCCGAGGCAAGUCAAAACGAUGAUUUUAAUGAACACACGUGUGGGAGACAAAAACUGUACGCAGACAGCAAAACUCUCCCCGAAAAAAAACACAACAAUAGUUUUUAUGAACAUCAGGGUAUUAGAACGCCCCCUCAUGCGUACAGUAGCUACAAUACAAUCAAUGUUGACAACUUUUAACAUAUUGAAAGAACAUCUUCUUCUUGCCGAGGCCAGAUCCUUCCCCAUAAUCUUCCACUCUGCUUAUCCCCUGGAACAAACCGUCUCUCCUGCAAGCACAAUCAAACAGCUACAAGGCCCUGCAAACUGUUUUCUAAAUAUUUGAACUCUCCCCUUCACAUGAGUUUAACUACUGCUUGUGUGUGUGCGUGUGUGCCUAGGCCUCAGCAUUCACUCUGUCUAUAAGGACAGAGGCCAACCCUUCAUGUGUGCAAUAACCUAACUGAAACCAUACAGGUAAUAUGUUGAAUAAAUGUUCUAAUCAAAUGUCACUGUUCAAAGCUUAAUAAAUGAAUAUAAAUGAAU